rnacentral:rRNA from 1 species
AUACGGAGGGGGCUAGCGUUGUUCGGAAUUACUGGGCGUAAAGCGCGCGUAGGCGGAUUGGUUAGUUGGGGGUGAAAUCCCGGGGCUCAACCCCGGAACUGCCCUCAAUACUGCCAGUCUAGAGAUCGAGAGAGGUGAGUGGAAUUCCUAGUGUAGAGGUGAAAUUCGUAGAUAUUAGGAAGAACACCAGCGGCGAAGGCGGCUCACUGGCUCGAUACUGACGCUGAGGCGCGAAAGCGUGGGGAGCAAACAGGAUUAGAUACCCCAGUAGUCC